rnacentral:rRNA from 1 species
GUUAAGUCCGGCAACGAGCGCAACCCACAUCUUUAAUUGCCAGCAGUUCGGCUGGGCACUCUAAAGAAACUGCCCGUGAUAAGCGGGAGGAAGGUGUGGAUGACGUCAAGUCCUCAUGGCCCUUACGGGUUGGGCUACACACGUGCUACAAUGGCAGUGACAAUGGGUUAAUCCCAAAAAGCUGUCUCAGUUCGGAUUGGGGUCUGCAACUCGACCCCAUGAAGUCGGAAUCGCUAGUAAUCGCGUAACAGCAUGACGCGGUGAAUACGUUCCCGGGCCUUGUACACACCGCCCGU